rnacentral:lncRNA from 1 species
AAAACCCACGGGAUCAACACGCAAUAACAAUCCACUAAAAAUAAAAGAUUAUAAGGUGAUUUACCGAAUCCACGGACUCAAAUCUCUCUUUAUCUUCUUCGGAUCUCGCGCACACCAAUGGGUUGUCCACGCCCUCACGUCCGAUUCCACGAACGCCACGUCCUGAAUCCACGAAACGUCCACACUUCGAAUCUACGAAGCCUUGAUCACGUCGAAUCCACGACGCCCACUCGAAUCCACAAGCGCACUCCGUCCGGA